CUCCCGAGUAGCUGGGACUACAGGCGACCGCCAUGACGCCCGGCUAAAUUUUUGUGUUUUUAGUAGAGACGGGGUUUCACCGUGUUAGCCAGGAUGGUCUCGAUUUCCUGACCUCGGGAUCCACCCGCCUCGGCCUCCCAAAGUGCUGGGAUUACAGGUGUGAGCCACCGCGCCCGGCAGAUAUAUCUUAUUUUUAAAAUCCACAUUAUUGAGUAAAAUCUCACAGUGGAAGGCAUGAGAUCCUGGCUUUGCCAGGCAAAAUUGGACCUGGAAGUAAGCCAAGUGAGGCUGCAGCAGCGGAGGGUCAACCUUCUGCACAGAGCAGCAGUGGAAGUGGUCAUCUUUGGAGGAAAACAUGGAGGCUGCUGUGUCCAGUUCUGAAUCUGUGAUGGUGGUGUAACAUGGCUAGUACUUCGAAAACUUUGAAGAGCCCUUAGUGAUGCUGUUUGCAGCCCUUCAGUCCUAUUCAACACCUCCAAAGGAAAUGGGAGAUGAAAAAGACAUGGCUUUCUAACAAGGAGAAGACUGAGCUCCAAACAAGUCAUAAUCCUAGAGACAGGUACCUGGGCAAGGU
rnacentral:lncRNA from 1 species